AGACCGGCGCACGGGUGAGUAACGCGUAUGCAACCUACCUUAUACAGGGGAAUAGCCCGAAGAAAUUCGGAUUAAUGCUCCAUGGUUUAUCGAUAUGGCAUCGUAUUGAUAAUAAAGAUUUAUCGGUAUAAGAUGGGCAUGCGUAUCAUUAGCUAGUUGGUGUGGUAACGGCAUACCAAGGCGACGAUGAUUAGGGGUCCUGAGAGGGAGAUCCCCCACACUGGUACUGAGACACGGACCAGACUCCUACGGGAGGCAGCAGUGAGGAAUAUUGGUCAAUGGAGGCAACUCUGAACCAGCCAUGCCGCGUGCAGGAUGACGGUCCUAUGGAUUGUAAACUGCUUUUGUACAGGAAGAAACCUCCCUACGUGUAGGGACUUGACGGUACUGUAAGAAUAAGGAUCGGCUAACUCCGUGCCAGCAGCCGCGGUAAUACGGAGGAUCCGAGCGUUAUCCGGAAUUAUUGGGUUUAAAGGGUUCGUAGGCGGCUUUGUAAGUCAGUGGUGAAAUUUCCUAGCUUAACUAGGACACUGCCAUUGAUACUGCAGAGCUUGAAUAAUAUGGAAGUAACUAGAAUAUGUAGUGUAGCGGUGAAAUGCUUAGAUAUUACAUGGAAUACCAAUUGCGAAGGCAGGUUACUACGUAUUUAUUGACGCUGAUGAACGAAAGCGUGGGGAGCGAACAGGAUUAGAUACCCUGGUAGUCCACGCCGUAAACGAUGGAUACUAGCUGUUCGGUUUUCGGACUGAGUGGCUAAGCGAAAGUGAUAAGUAUCCCACCUGGGGAGUACGUUCGCAAGAAUGAAACUCAAAGGAAUUGACGGGGGCCCGCACAAGCGGUGGAGCAUGUGGUUUAAUUCGAUGAUACGCGAGGAACCUUACCAGGGCUUAAAUGUAGAUUGACAGAUUUGGAAACAGAUUUUUCUUCGGACAAUUUACAAGGUGCUGCAUGGUUGUCGUCAGCUCGUGCCGUGAGGUGUCAGGUUAAGUCCUAUAACGAGCGCAACCCCUAUUGUUAGUUACCAGCGCGUUAAGGCGGGGACUCUAGCAAGACUGCCGGUGCAAACCGUGAGGAAGGUGGGGAUGACGUCAAAUCAUCACGGCCCUUACGUCCUGGGCUACACACGUGCUACAAUGGCAAGUACAGAAAGCAGCUACCUGGCAACAGGAUGCGAAUCUCCAAAGCUUGUCUCAGUUCGGAUUGGAGUCUGCAACUCGACUCUAUGAAGCUGGAAUCGCUAGUAAUCGGAUAUCAGCCAUGAUCCGGUGAAUACGUUCCCGGGCCUUGUACACACCGCCCGUCAACGCCAU
rnacentral:rRNA from 1 species